UACGGGGGGGGGCAAGCGUUGUUCGGAAUUACUGGGCGUAAAGGGCUCGUAGGCGGCCAACUAAGUCAGACGUGAAAUCCCUCGGCUUAACCGGGGAACUGCGUCUGAUACUGGAUGGCUUGAGUUCGGGAGAGGGAUGUGGAAUUCCAGGUGUAGCGGUGAAAUGCGUAGAUAUCUGGAGGAACACCGGUGGCGAAGGCGGCAUCCUGGACCGACACUGACGCUGAUGAGCGAAAGCCAGGGGAGCAAGCGGG
rnacentral:rRNA from 1 species